AAUUGCAGCCAAUUUCAACCCCUCUCUUAGUGGGGCUUUUUCCUCCCGUGAGGCGUACUAGGUUGCGUGAGUUUCUCGCCGACGCUUCCCUCCAUUGAAGGUUUCGGAUGUCUCUCCCUUCGGCUUGGUGCUUGUUUCUCUUGUUAUAGCCAAACUCUUGAUUCUCUUGAGGCUUUGUUUCGUUUGAUUAGCUCUGCAUUCUCUGUUUUCCAGAUUUUAUCUGGUUCUGUUCUUUGUUUGCUAAAUCUGGAUCUUCUCCAGUUGUGGCGGAAUUGUUGUGUUGAAUCCUGUUCGUGGCUUACGUUUCCCUGGUUUGAUUCUUAGGUUAAUUCACAAUGGUUUUGGCUUUCUGAUUUCUUGUAUAAGGUCCAAUCGUUUCUAUUUGUUUUGAUUUGAUUUCUUGAUUUUGACUUCUUGAUUUCUUCUGAAGACCUUUGUUUCUUUCUUCUUAAAUCUUUCUUAGUUUGUGCGAUACUCUUAGGUUGGGAUUGUAAUGGUUUCAGUUUCUUGAUUUGUCUAUAUAAUGUUUGAUUUGUUCUGGUUUCUUUCUCUCAUUUUCUGCAGGUCUCUGCAUUUUACUACUCUUGCAUAAAUUCUUAGAUGUGCUUAUCCCCUACUUUACUUUAGUGUAUAUGGUUGAUUUCUGCAGAGUAGCAAAUCUUUUGUAUGGAUCCAGAGUUAGAUGGUGUGAUCUUGCCGGAAUGGCCGGAGAUACUUCAAUUGAAACCAGAAGAGCGGAUUUGGAAACAUCUGAUCUGGGAGUUGAUUCCAGUUUUGUUGAUUGGACUUUUGUCCUAAUCGGCAAGGUUUUCUCCACCAAGCGAAUCCCUACUGCAUCUGUAUCAAAAGGCCUUGGAGUGGCUUGGAGCCUUCAGAGAGAUCUAGAAGUCAGAUCAAUGGGGGAAAAUGUCUUCCUCAUCCAAAUGGCUAGCACUACAGAAGUAACGGUGGCUCUGGAUCAAGGUCCAUGGCUGAUCAAGAAUUGUCUUCUAGCUCUUCAACCCUGGACACCGUUGGUACAACUCCAAUCACUCUCCUUUUGUCUCUUUUUCGAUUUGGACCUGUCUAUGAGCUGCCUUUCUUUCUUCACACUAAAGAAGUUGCAGUUCGUAUUGUGGCAAAUUGGGAAAUUUUCUUGAAGCCCAACUGCCUGUCUCUCUUUGAGCUCUAGGAAAGGCUCUGGCUAUUCCUGUAUCUCUAAAGAUAGGCUCUCCCAUGGCCAGGAAUGCGCCUCUUACAGCCAGAGGGAAGGUCACUGUGGCUGGAAUUGUGCUAUGCCAAUCUACCACUAUUCUGCUAUUUCUGUGGCUUGAUUGGACAUGAUAGUCACUCCUGCCUUAUCCAAAGAGCUCUCCCAGGGGGUUUUACCUCACCAAAGGCAAUGGAUCUAGAUCCAGAGGUAAGAAAGCAAUGUUGGGAUGUCUCUUUCGGGAAUGGAUCCAGCUGGGAGGAUCAGUGGCCAGGCCAAUAGCAGAUGUCCAAAUGCGGUUAGCAGCUAAGUCUACCCUCAUAAGUUUGGAGCUCCGCUCUUCUUUGCGUACUUCUUUGGAUUCCAUGGAGCAGGAUCAGGUCCCAUCUUCUUUUCCCGACAGAACACUUCCGCUGGCGAUCUAGUCUGAACGGGGUAAACCUAAAUAGGCAGUUUGGACGAUGGGAGGAGGCUUCCGGCGAGUUCCCCGACAGAACCUGUUGGAUAGUGUAGGACUCGGGAGGCCCAACUGCGUUUCAGCCCAGGUCAGCCCAUGUUACUAGUAGUGUAGCUGGACCAAGUGAGGAGGCCUGCGUUAUAUGUAUGAAACCUCUCGCUAGGGCCCAAGCUGGAGGCCGACAAUUUGUCUUUAAAUCCCACAAAGGUAAACUUCAGAAUGGUGUGGGUCCCAAGGUCACCUCCCCCAUGGGCUUAAAAUCUAGUCAAACAUCUUUGGGCCCGCAACUGCUUGAUAAGAGGUGUCUUAUGGGAAGCCCAUUUACUCCUACAGAAUCAGUGAACCCAAGCCCAUCCUUAAGGAUAAAGAAUGGGAGCCCAAUUCCUCAAGGGCAUACACCUUUGCAAAAUCCAGUUACCCAGCGCCCUUUUGUCCAGAGUCCUCGGGCUGGCCCAUGGCAGCCUAUCUGAUUAGAUACGCCAAAUCAGUGUGUCCAGAAGACUCAUCUUGCUGGUCCGAUCGCCCAUCAUAUUACUGAUACCAAUAAUACUCGAGCACUAAGCACUGUGGGCCUGGGGAAUGGUGGGACUCUGCUGUCCAGUGCUGAUGCUUCAUCUUCCUAAGCUACUGUGUCACGGGAUCUGCUAUCUGAGCAAGAUAACUAUGAUAGUGUUGCACCACGGUGCCCCUUGACUUUGACAAAAUCAUCUAAAAUAGUUCUGAUUACCAAAGAAGUUCAGGAAAGAGUCCAAGAGCCCUCCUUUGUUACCUUAGAGGAGCUGCUAUCUCCUUCACAAUCGCCGGUGCAAAAUAGAGUCUGUAAAAGACGUUUGGGGAGCUCCUCCACCCCCAUUGCACAGAAAUUCAAGAAAUUGCGCAUAUCUUCUGAUGUUGGAUACCCUACACAUAAUAAAGGGGCUUUGUUCGAGAGGGCUCCUUUAUCUGAUGCAUCCAAUGGUCAAGGCUGGCGGAGGAAAAUUAAUUUUGUGACAUUUACUAAUGCUGUGUCUAUUGCUGAAGAAGGGGUUUGGGUGGCUACCCUAAAACAGCCACCGUGGGGGCCAUGACUCUUUUAUGUUGGAACUGUCAGGGGUGUGGUUGGCCUCUGACGGUUCAGUAUUUGAGCAGUUUAUGCUCUAAUAUCAGACCAAGCAUCGUCUUCCUGAUUGAAACAAAGCAACAACAAUGGUAUAUGAAUUAGAUCAAGUGUCGGUGAGGCUUCUCUAACUCUUUCUUUUUAGAUCCUCAAGGGCGCGCUAGUGGUCUUGCUUUAUUUUGGGAUGACUCUGUAUCUCUAACUAUUCUCUCUACUUCUUGCAGAUUUUUUGAUUUGUCUCUGGGUGGCCCUUUUCUUUUUACUUCCAUCAGGCUUAUCUUUGUAUAUGUUGACCCUCAAACGGACCUCCGAGCUGCCUUUUGGAGUGAGAUAGUUUUACUAAGCCAGUCCAUCUCAAGCCCAUGGCUUUUUGCAUUGGUCCUCGCUUUUCUUGGUCAAACAAGCGACAUGUGGAUCAGUUGAUAAUGGCUAGUAUUGAUAAAGCUUUUGCAAAUGGUUAGCUUCUUAGACGGCAAAAUCUAUUGGAGGUUCGACGGCAUACUAUGGUCGGGUCAGACCAUACCCCGGUAUCAGUUCAUUUCCAUCCCCGACCCAAAUCUAUAAAGGUCGAUAAUUUUUUUUUAUGUCAAGAUGCGUGGGCCACCCAAAUUUGGAGAGUGUAGUAUCUCAGGCUUGGGCUCAUAAUUCUCAGGGAUCUGCUUCCUAUAGACUCCAGCAGAAACUUCGAAACUGUAGCUUCCGGCUGAAGAGGUGGAGUUGUGAAACUUUUAAAAAUGGACAGUUGGAAAUUGCAACGCUCACUGAGGAGCUGGAAUCUGUGCAAACCCAUCCCUAGCGUGAAUUCAUUCAAGAGGAGAUUUCAGUGAGGAAAAAAAUUAGAGGAAGCCCUAUUGGGUGAGGAGUGCUUUUGGGCUCAGAGAUCUAGGAUCCAAUGGAUCAAAGAGGGAGACAGAAAUACCUCUUUCUUCCAUACGGCUACUUCCCGAAGACGCCAGUUAAACUGCAUCUCUCGUAUCCGCAACUCUAGUGGGGAUUGGAUCCCGGAAGGCCAAGGGAUGUCUGAUCUUAUUACAAGUUAUUUUUCAAACCUCUUUACUUCAUCCACUAUGGGAAUACUGCUUAUUUUUUGGACUGUGUGCCUUCUCGGGUUACCCAUGAGCAGAAUCAAAUACUUUGUUCUCCCUUUACUGAUGAAGAGGUUAGGGUUGCUACUUUUCAGAUUGGGACUUUUAAAGCCCCUGGUAUUGAUGGACUUCCCAGGAAGUUCUAUCAGCUGCAUUGAAAUAUUUUAGGUGCUGAUGUGGUCAAUGCUGUACAAUGGUUUUUUAACUCUGGUCACAUGCUUGGGAGCUUUAAUGAAACAGUCAUUGUCCUAGUUCCAAAACAGAAAAAACCUAGUGAGUUGCACCACUUUAGGCCUAUUAGUUUGUGCAGAGUCAUUUACAAAAUUAUUGCAAAAUGUCUUGUAAAUCGGCUCAAACCUUUUUUGCAUUCUCUAGUUCAUCCAUUUCAGAGUGCUUUUAUCC